rnacentral:hammerhead_ribozyme from 1 species
CACAGCUGAUGAGACCAAAACAGGUCGAAACGGUCGUCCAGGGC